AGGACCUUUGCGCUUUUGGAGCGGCCGAUGCCUGAUUAGCUUGUUGGUAAGGUAAAAGCUUACCAAGGCUUCGAUCAGUAGCUGGUCUGAGAGGACGGCCAGCCACACUGGGACUGAGACACGGCCCAGACUCCUACGGGAGGCAGCAGUGGGGAAUUUUGGACAAUGGGGGCAACCCUGAUCCAGCCAUGCCGCGUGAGUGAAGAAGGCCUUCGGGUUGUAAGGCUCUUUCAGCCGGAACGAAACGGUUACGGUUAAUACCCGUGAUUACUGACGGUACCGGAAGAAGAAGCACCGGCUAACUACGUGCCAGCAGCCGCGGUAAUACGUAGGGUGCGAGCGUUAAUCGGAAUUACUGGGCGUAAAGCGUGCGCAGGUGGUUUUGUAAGUCAGAUGUGAAAGCCCCGGGCUCAACCUGGGAACU
rnacentral:rRNA from 1 species